rnacentral:rRNA from 1 species
ACCAGCAACCUGGGGGAAUGAAAAUGAAAAAGUUCUAAAAGAAUCUAGAAUGAAACAAUUAAAACUUUUAAAUAUAAUUCUAGGUAGAAUAUUGAUAAUGACAACUUUCUAUCUAUAUGUCUUGACCAAAUCUUGUGCCAGCAGUCGCGGCAACACAAGGAAGACAAGUGUUAUUCAUCUUAAAUCGGUUUAAAGGGUACCUAGACGGUAAAUUAGGCCUUAACAGGGAACGUUUUUACUAGAGUUAUAAAUAGGAGAGGAAUAUGUCAGAAUUAGCAGAGUAGAGAUGAAAUUUUUUGAUACUGUUAAGACUGGUAAUGGCAAAAGCAAACCUUUAUAUAUUAACUGACGUUGAGGGACGAA